rnacentral:rRNA from 1 species
ACUCAAAUGAAUAGACGGGGGCCCGCACAAGCAGCGGAGCGUGUGGUUUAAUUCGAUGCAACGCGAAGAACCUUACCAGGGCUCGACAUCCCGUGCUCAAUCGGUGAAAGCCGGUGCCCGCAAGGGGAACGGGACAGGUGCUGCAUGGCUGUCGUCAGCUCGUGCCGUGAGGUGUUGGGUUAAGUCCCGCAACGAGCGCAACCCCCGGGGCUAGUUAGGUUCCUAGCCCGACUGCCGGGACCAACCCGGAGGAAGGUGGGGAUGACGUCAAGUCAGCACGGCCCUUACGUCCUGGGCUACACACACGCUACAAUGGCCGGUACAGCGGGCGGUGCGAAGCCGCGAGGCGGAGCGAAUCCCUGCAAAGCCGGCCCCAGUGCAGAUCGGGGGCUGCAACUCGCCCCCGUGAAGUCGGAGUUGCUAGUAACCGCGGGUCAGCACACCGCGGUGAAUACGUUCCCGGGCCUUGUACACACCGCCCGU